rnacentral:misc_RNA from 1 species
CGAAUCAAGGGAAGCGUGCCGGUGCAGGCAAGAGACCACCGUAAGCGUCGUUGCAACCAAUUAAGCGCCGAUUCCAAUCAGCGCGACUACGCCCUCGCUGCCUAAGCGACGGCUGGUCUGUCAGACCGGGAACGCCCUCGGCCCGGAUCCUGGCAUCAGCUAGAGGGACCCACCCACGGGUUCGGUCGCGGAAUCCGUGGGGACAUCAAACAGCGACUGGGAUCGUCAUCUCAGCUUGUUCGCGUGACUGAGAGAUCCGAGUAGAGGCACAGCGAACUGCGCACGGAGAAGCCUCGAGGACAUGCCGUAGGACCCGG